rnacentral:rRNA from 1 species
GGGUUGUGAGGUUAAGCGACUAAGCGUACACGGUGGAUGCCCUGGCAGUCAGAGGCGAUGAAGGACGUGCUAAUCUGCGAUAAGCGCCGGUAAGGUGAUAUGAACCGUUAUAACCGGCGAUUUCCGAAUGGGGAAACCCAGUGUGAUUCGUCACACUAUCAUUAACUGAAUCCAUAGGUUAAUGAGGCGAACCGGGGGAACUGAAACAUCUAAGUACCCCGAGGAAAAGAAAUCAACCGAGAUUCCCCAGUAGCGGCGAGCGAACGGGGAGGAGCCCAGAGCCUGAAUCAGCAUGUGUGUUAGUGGAAGCGUCUGGAAAGGCGCGCGAUACAGGGUGACAGCCCCGUACACAAAAGCGCAUGUGCUGUGAGCUCGAUGAGUAGGGCGGGACACGUGGUAUCCUGUCUGAAUAUGGGGGGACCAUCCUCCAAGGCUAAAUACUCCUGACUGACCGAUAGUGAACCAGUACCGUGAGGGAAAGGCGAAAAGAACCCCGGCGAGGGGAGUGAAAAAGAACCUGAAACCGUGUACGUACAAGCAGUGGGAGCCCCACCACCAAAGCAUUCUCUGGUGUUGAAGGCCCUGCAAAGCAGCAUCGCGGUGGCGGAGCGUCGUUUGCGACGCCCAACACACAAAACAAGCGGUGAAUGCUUUGGGGUGGGGUGACUGCGUACCUUUUGUAUAAUGGGUCAGCGACUUAUAUUCUGUAGCAAGGUUAACCGUAUAGGGGAGCCGGAGGGAAACCGAGUCUUAAUUGGGCGUUAAGUUGCAGGGUAUAGACCCGAAACCCGGUGAUCUAGCCAUGGGCAGGUUGAAGGUUGGGUAACACUAACUGGAGGACCGAACCGACUAAUGUUGAAAAAUUAGCGGAUGACCUGUGGCUGGGGGUGAAAGGCCAAUCAAACCGGGAGAUAGCUGGUUCUCCCCGAAAGCUAUUUAGGUAGCGCCUCGUGAAUUCAUCUCCGGGGGUAGAGCACUGUUUCGGCUAGGGGGCCAUCCCGGCUUACCAACCCGAUGCAAACUGCGAAUACCGGAGAAUGUUAUCACGGGAGACACACGGCGGGUGCUAACGUCCGUCGUGAAGAGGGAAACAACCCAGACCGCCAGCUAAGGUCCCAAAGUCAUGGUUAAGUGGGAAACGAUGUGGGAAGGCCCAGACAGCCAGGAUGUUGGCUUAGAAGCAGCCAUCAUUUAAAGAAAGCGUAAUAGCUCACUGGUCGAGUCGGCCUGCGCGGAAGAUGUAACGGGGCUAAACCAUGCACCGAAGCUGCGGCAGCGACGCUGAUGCGUUGUUGGGUAGGGGAGCGUUCUGUAAGCCUGCGAAGGUGACCUGUGAGGGUUGCUGGAGGUAUCAGAAGUGCGAAUGCUGACAUAAGUAACGAUAAAGCGGGUGAAAAGCCCGCUCGCCGGAAGACCAAGGGUUCCUGUCCAACGUUAAUCGGGGCAGGGUGAGUCGACCCCUAAGGCGAGGCCGAAAGGCGUAGUCGAUGGGAAACGGGUUAAUAUUCCCGUACUUGGUGUUACUGCGAAGGGGGACGGAGAAGGCUAUGUUGGCCGGGCGACGGUUGUCCCGGUUUAAGCGUGUAGGUGUGUGUUCCAGGUAAAUCCGGUUCACUUUAACACUGAGGCGUGAUGACGAGGCACUACGGUGCUGAAGCAACAAAUGCCCUGCUUCCAGGAAAAGCCUCUAAGCAUCAGGUAACAUCAAAUCGUACCCCAAACCGACACAGGUGGUCAGGUAGAGAAUACCAAGGCGCUUGAGAGAACUCGGGUGAAGGAACUAGGCAAAAUGGUGCCGUAACUUCGGGAGAAGGCACGCUGACACGUAGGUGAAGUGAUUUACUCACGGAGCUGAAGUCAGUCGAAGAUACCAGCUGGCUGCAACUGUUUAUUAAAAACACAGCACUGUGCAAACACGAAAGUGGACGUAUACGGUGUGACGCCUGCCCGGUGCCGGAAGGUUAAUUGAUGGGGUCAGCGCAAGCGAAGCUCCUGAUCGAAGCCCCGGUAAACGGCGGCCGUAACUAUAACGGUCCUAAGGUAGCGAAAUUCCUUGUCGGGUAAGUUCCGACCUGCACGAAUGGCGUAAUGAUGGCCAGGCUGUCUCCACCCGAGACUCAGUGAAAUUGAACUCGCUGUGAAGAUGCAGUGUACCCGCGGCAAGACGGAAAGACCCCGUGAACCUUUACUAUAGCUUGACACUGAACAUUGAGCCUUGAUGUGUAGGAUAGGUGGGAGGCUUUGAAGUGUGGACGCCAGUCUGCAUGGAGCCGACCUUGAAAUACCACCCUUUAAUGUUUGAUGUUCUAACGUGGACCCGUAAUCCGGGUUGCGGACAGUGUCUGGUGGGUAGUUUGACUGGGGCGGUCUCCUCCUAAAGAGUAACGGAGGAGCACGAAGGUUGGCUAAUCCUGGUCGGACAUCAGGAGGUUAGUGCAAUGGCAUAAGCCAGCUUGACUGCGAGCGUGACGGCGCGAGCAGGUGCGAAAGCAGGUCAUAGUGAUCCGGUGGUUCUGAAUGGAAGGGCCAUCGCUCAACGGAUAAAAGGUACUCCGGGGAUAACAGGCUGAUACCGCCCAAGAGUUCAUAUCGACGGCGGUGUUUGGCACCUCGAUGUCGGCUCAUCACAUCCUGGGGCUGAAGUAGGUCCCAAGGGUAUGGCUGUUCGCCAUUUAAAGUGGUACGCGAGCUGGGUUUAGAACGUCGUGAGACAGUUCGGUCCCUAUCUGCCGUGGGCGCUGGAGAACUGAGGGGGCUGCUCCUAGUACGAGAGGACCGGAGUGGACGCAUCACUGGUGUUCGGGUUGUCAUGCCAAUGGCACUGCCCGGUAGCUAAAUGCGGAAGAGAUAAGUGCUGAAAGCAUCUAAGCACGAAACUUGCCCCGAGAUGAGUUCUCCCUGAGACUUUAGGUCUCCUGAAGGAACGUUGAAGACGACGACGUUGAUAGGCCGGGUGUGUAAGCGCAGCGAUGCGUUGAGCUAACCGGUACUAAUGAACCGUGAGGCUUAACCUUACAACGCCGAAG